AGAUCACCACAGGACUUGCAAGCAACUCACUGUACUUUGAUACCAGACUACCUGAAUUUUUAAUUCAGUGAUGAAAAAUUUUUAGGUACAGUCAAGUACUUAUGAAGUCGAUGUAUGAGUCAAGAUAAAAUUGAUUUAUCCGAAUAAAUAGGAGUUAAUGUAUCAGUAUAUUUCAAUUCAGUAAAACCUCAAUCGGGAUAAUCCAUGUGA
rnacentral:lncRNA from 1 species